GUAGGGUGCGAGCGUUAAUCGGAAUUACUGGGCGUAAAGCGUGCGCAGGCGGUUGUGUAAGUCAGACGUGAAAUCCCCGGGCUCAACCUGGGAACUGCGUUUGAGACUGCACGGCUAGAGGAUAGCAGAGGGGGGUAGAAUUCCACGUGUAGCAGUGAAAUGCGUAGAGAUGUGGAGGAAUACCGAUGGCGAAGGCAGCCCCCUGGGCUAUUACUGACGCUCAUGCACGAAAGCGUGGGGAGCAAAC
rnacentral:rRNA from 1 species